UGGGUGAGACUCGGCUACUGUCCU
rnacentral:piRNA from 1 species